UACAGAGGGCUCAAGCGUUGUUCGGAUUCAUUGGGCGUAAAGGGCGCGUAGGCUGCGGGGCAAGUCGGGUGUGAAAUCUCAGAGCUCAACUCUGAAACUGCACUCGAUACUGCUUUGCUGGAGGACUGGAGAGGAGAUUGGAAUUCACGGUGUAGCAGUGAAAUGCGUAGAUAUCGUGAGGAAGACCAGUGGCGAAGGCGGAUCUCUGGACAGUUCCUGACGCUGAGGCGCGAAGGCCAGGGGAGCAAACGGG
rnacentral:rRNA from 1 species